GAUGAACGCUGGCUACAGGCUUAACACAUGCAAGUCGAGGGGAAACGACGGGGAAGCUUGCUUCCUUGGGCGUCGACCGGCGCACGGGUGAGUAACGCGUAUCCAACCUGCCUCUGACUGAGGGAUAACCCGUCGAAAGUCGGCCUAAUACCUCAUGGCAUCGUCUGCGGGCAUCCAACGACGAUUAAAGAUUUUAUCGGUCAGGGAUGGGGAUGCGUCUGAUUAGCUGGUUGGCGGGGUAACGGCCCACCAAGGCGACGAUCAGUAGGGGUUCUGAGAGGAAGGUCCCCCACAUUGGAACUGAGACACGGUCCAAACUCCUACGGGAGGCAGCAGUGAGGAAUAUUGGUCAAUGGGCGAGAGCCUGAACCAGCCAAGUAGCGUGCAGGAUGACGGCCCUAUGGGUUGUAAACUGCUUUUAUGCGGGGAUAAAGUGAGGGACGUGUCCUUCAUUGCAGGUACCGCAUGAAUAAGGACCGGCUAAUUCCGUGCCAGCAGCCGCGGUAAUACGGAAGGUCCGGGCGUUAUCCGGAUUUAUUGGGUUUAAAGGGAGCGUAGGCCGUGGAUUAAGCGUGUUGUGAAAUGCAGGUGCUCAACGUCUGCACUGCAGCGCGAACUGGUCCACUUGAGUGUGCACAACGCAGGCGGAAUUCGUCGUGUAGCGGUGAAAUGCUUAGAUAUGACGAAGAACUCCGAUUGCGAAGGCAGCUUGCGGGAGCACAACUGACGCUGAAGCUCGAAAGUGCGGGUAUCGAACAGG
rnacentral:rRNA from 1 species